rnacentral:lncRNA from 1 species
AUCGUUUUUUCAAUCGAUGCUUCGAUCACUCCCGUUACCGAUUAACCAGAAAUACGACAGUAGUCUUCAAUCGUUAUGUUCAAUCGACGCUUCAAUCAGUAGGCUCAAUUGAAGGCUCAAUCAGUGUUACGGAGACUUCGGAAAACUCUUCAAACCCUAUCAUUCUCCAGCUCUGCAUCCUUCAGUUUCCAAUCUAAAUCCCUCCACUCCCCCUCUCCCUCCGUCCCUCCACCUCCCGUCGGAAUGGCUUCAUCGUCAAAGCUGUAAGUAGCUCACAAUCUCUCACUUUGUUUAGCCGUGUGGUGAGGAUCGAACAUUAGACAUUUGUUCAUUCACAUAAUUGAAACUAUGUUCUACAACACCAUUAUACCAAUAUCUAAAUUUUCUUAUCAUGUGCUCGUUGAUUAUGGAAGUAGAUGUAUUCGAUAUGGAUUUGAAAUUCUAGAAUGUAUUUUAGUGUUUAUAGGGCCUUCCACUAGUUGGAUAUGUUGCACCAGAUUUUGAAGUCGAAACUGUUUUUGAUCAAGAAUUCAUCAAAGUAACUAAAUCAACUCAUAUCAUUGAUUAUAUAUAAAAUCCCAGAUUUCAUAACUUUGUAAGAAAUUUAUGAAUUAUAGGUUAAGCUCUUUGACUACAAUGGCAAGAAAUAUGUCAUUUUCUUUUUCUACCCUCUUCAUUUCACUUUCGUUUGUCCAACAUGUGAGUUUCACUUUCACUUUCACAUUACUUUUAAACAUAAUUUGAUCCAAUUUUUUUCUUAAUUAUGUGUUUAUCAUGUAGAAAUCACUGCAUUCAGUGAUAGACAGGCAGAAUUUUACAAGAAAAACACAGAGAUAUUGAGUGUUUUAGUAGACAGUGUGGUAAAUUCUAAUUCUUCCUUUACCCUGCUUAUAUCUUAAUACAAAAUUUUACAUUAUGAUUUAUGAAUUUAUGAUUCUAUUUUCUUUUUUCUUAAUACAAAUAUGACCUGGCCGAUUUUUAUUGUUGCUGCAGUUGAUGUGCUAUUUUUGGGAUGAGCUCAAGCACAUACGACAUGCUAUUUGCAUUCCUGGUAUGCAUAUAGAUAUUAUUGCCUAAUAAAAAUCAUUUAAUAAUCAUGUAUAUAAGUCGUGAUGUUGGUUUUUUUAGGUUACCCAACAAAAGCGAAAGAGGACACUGCAUGAAAUAAGUUAUGACCUCUGUCCUGUAAGUUUGUGCAAACUUUGAGAUUAUAUUUUAUCAUAUUUAAACUUUCACCUCACCUGCAUGUGCAAACUUUCUCCUAAAGUCAGUCUCAGUAUCAUUUAUUCUUUUUUACUUCUUUUACUAAUACCUAUAAUUCCUCCAUUCUUCCAAAACAUUGCCCCUAAAUUUCAGGUUUUUGCUACUAAAAUGGUCUAAGUUAAAGACUGAUGGAAUAUGCAUGCAGUAUACUGUUCUCGACAGAUGAGCUGACAAGUUCAAUGGAUCCAAUUCAAGGCUAUGUUGUUUUUGCUGUGUUGCGUUUUCCUAUUGUUGUUUUAUGUUUAUUGUUUGUAAUUUUUCAUUUUUAUCAUCUCUACUUGUUAAAUUUCACUUGAUUGGAAAUGUUUUCUAUGAUGUUUUUUAAUUGUGGGAAGUGUUUUUAAAUUUUAAUAGGUGGCCUAUGUAAGUUUUUAUAAUUGUUUUAUUAUCAUAUUCUUAUACUUCUGAUGUUUGUAAAGGUUAAUAUCCAUGCCAUAUGCUCUAUAAUUUAUAAAUAAAAACUUUUAUAUUUAAGAAGCCGGGUACCCGGAACCGGAACCGGUUCCGGCGGUUCUGGAAGCGGUUUCAGUUUUCUAGGAACCGGUGUAGGCGGUUCCGGUUCCGGUUCCAAUAACUUAAGAACCGCGGUUCCGGGAGUGGUUCCGGUUCCAGCAAAAAUAGGCGGGUACCUGCUUAUGCUCAUCCCUACUAUGAACAACAUGUCAC